AUUGCUUCUCGGCCUUUUGGCUAAGAUCAAGUGUAGUAUCUGUUCUUAUCAGUUUAAUUUGAUACGUCCUCUAUCCAAGGACAAUCUAUUAAAUGGAUUUUUGGAACAGAGAGAUGGAAUAGGAGCUUGCUCUGUCCACUCCACACAUCGACCUAGUAUUGCAGUACCUCUGGGAAUGGCGCACCCCUC
rnacentral:snRNA from 1 species